CAGAGGAAGGGUGGAGUCCCCAUCCCUGGAAGUGUUAAAUAAACAAGCAGACAUGUUACUUUGCCAUACAGUUUAGUGGCCAUGGUGGUAUUAGAUCAAAAGUUGGACUUGGUGAUAUUGGAGGUCUUUUCCAAUCUUAAUGAUUCUAUGAUUCAAUGAUUCUCUCUCUUGCUAUCCUUUGAGGACAAUAGCAGCCCUCACAGUCCCCUUACCAGGAGUACAUUCCUGUGCCCCUCAGGCUUUUGUCUCUCUCGCCGUACCUAAAAAGAUAACUGAAUCUAGACAAAACUGAUCUAUUUCCAGUGCUUGGUCAUACUGAAACAGAAGGUCUGGUGGCAGCCAGCACAGACACCCCCUCCACCUCCAGCACUAUUAAUUUUCCCCCCUGAGCAUGGACAAGAUGGCUGCUGGUGUGGCCAUUGCUCCUCACAAAAUGUCUGCCAUGGUGACCUGCCCUCACUGCAAAAUGGCUGCCACUAGAGUCACCACCAAGGUUCAGAUGGCUUGUCAGUAUUUUCCCUGCCCCAUGCCAGGAGUUUAUUCUCUCUCCUGUCAUAGUGUGGUCUCUGCCUGCCCUACCUGCUGAAGGGAAAGCAUGCCUGGCGCUUCCCUUUGGGGUUCCAUUAUCCAUCCUCCCACAAGGACAAGGUGGGGAGGAAAGGUCACAGGCUCCCAGGCUCACUGUCACCUUCCCUCACUGCAAAGGGAACUCUUGAGUGCAUUUUUCCCAAAGUGCCAUUUGCUGGAGGUAUGCCAUUAGAUGUUGUUUCAUUCAAGAUACAUGCUUCUAAUCUUACAGGGCUUACACAACACCAAGGCCUUUUCUGCUCCUCAUCCCAGCAGUGAGGAGGCUGGGGGUGCACAAAGAGUUGGGAAGGGGACACAGAUGGGACAGCUGACCCCAAAUGACCGAAGAAACGUCCCAGACCAUAUGUCAUCAUGUCUAGUACAUAAAGCUGGGGAAGAAGAAUGUUUGGAAUUACAGCGUUUGAAUUCCCAAGUAACCACCGAGUGUGAUGGAGUCCUGCUUUCUUGUGCAUGGCUCAACACUUGCCUGUCCAUGGGAAGUGGUGAAUUAACUCCUUGUUUGUCUUCUUUGUGUGCUAUACUUUGCUUUACCUGUUAAACUGUCUUUAUCUAAACCCAUAUAUUUUCUCACUUUUUUGUUUCCAGUUCUCUUCCCCAGCCCACUGGGGAGAAGCAAGUGAGCAGCUGUGUGGGGCUUAGUUGUGAACUGGGGUUAAACCACGAUAACACCCUAAAAUACCAGUCAUUUUCAAAAGCGUAUGUGAACAGGACUUCUGGAAAACUUGUGCCCCAAUGGAGCAGCCUGUGAAGGUGAGUAGGACACUUCAAGACAUCUCAGGGGCAUGAGAUAUCUGUGCUUAUGUAGGUGAAUUUUA